UACGUAGGGUGCAGGCGUUAAUCGGAAUUACUGGGCGUAAAGCGUGCGCAGGCGGUCUGCUAAGAGAGAUGUGAAAUCCCCGGGCUUAACCUGGGAACUGCGUUUCUAACUGGCAGGCUUGAGUGUGGCAGAGGGGGGUGGAAUUCCGACGUGUAGCAGUGAAAUGCGUAGAGAUGUGGAGGAACACCGAUGGCGAAGGCAGCCCCCUGGGCUAACACUGACGCUCAUGCACGAAAGCGUGGGGAGCAAACAGG
rnacentral:rRNA from 1 species